GUUUGCACUUGUCGGGGAAGGGUGAGAACCUUCGAUUAAGGUUCGACUCGAGCGAAAGCGAGAGAACGUUGCCAACGGCA
rnacentral:sRNA from 2 species